CAGGGUAUUCUUUGACCCUGUUUAGUUCAACCAAAUGAACUAAAGUUUCAAAAUGACACAACCUUUUGAAAAACUAGUUCAUUUGUUUGAACUAAAAAGGGUCAAAUGAUACCCUG
rfam:Brachypodium distachyon strain Bd21 chromosome 4, whole genome shotgun sequence.